rnacentral:rRNA from 1 species
GAUGAACGCUGGCGGCGUGCCUAAUACAUGCAAGUCGAGCGAACAGAUGAGGAGCUUGCUCCUCUGACGUUAGCGGCGGACGGGUGAGUAACACGUGGAUAACCUACCUAUAAGACUGGGAUAACUUCGGGAAACCGGAGCUAAUACCGGAUAAUAUAUUGAACCGCAUGGUUCAAUAGUGAAAGACGGUUUUGCUGUCACUUAUAGAUGGAUCCGCGCCGCAUUAGCUAGUUGGUAAGGUAACGGCUUACCAAGGCAACGAUGCGUAGCCGACCUGAGAGGGUGAUCGGCCACACGUGAACUGAGACACGGUCCAGACUCCUACGGGAGGCAGCAGUAGGGAAUCUUCCGCAAUGGGCGAAAGCCUGACGGAGCAAAGCCGCGUGAGUGAUGAAGGUCUUCGGAUCGUAAAACUCUGUUAUUAGGGAAGAACAAAUGUGUAAGUAACUAUGCACGUCUUGACGGUACCUAAUCAGAAAGCCACGGCUAACUACGUG